rnacentral:lncRNA from 1 species
UCACUUCCCUUCCAUUUUAUUUUGCCACAUUCGGUGUCCCCUCUCUCUAAGAAAAAAUUGCAGGGUUCUUUAUGCUCUUCUCCAUUCCCUUUUGAUUUGUCGAAAGUAUCUAGAGGUAAUAUGUCUUCUCAUCCUAGGCAAGUUGUGAGGUCCAAGGCCUUCCUCGCCUUCUCACAAGAGAUGACCGAUAUUUCUACCCACCUAAGGUGGGUUGCCUUUGUCCAAGCCUUCGGUCAGGUCGAC